ensembl:miRNA
GGACUGUGUUCUGCCUCCCCUGAGAGGCUUGCUGGCAGUGCUCAGGCACUCCAGCAGCGAGGCACACAGGCAGC